rfam:Camelus ferus unplaced genomic scaffold scaffold957, whole genome shotgun sequence.
GGAUGUGAGGGGCAAUCUGGCUGCGACAUCUGUCACCCCAGUGAUUGCCAAGGUUGUUUUGGCUGAUCUGGUGGGCUGGGUAGUGUCCUCUCCUCCGUCAUGGCUCCACGUCUCUCUCUCCUGAAGCUGCACACUGGGUGGAAGAGGAUGACCUUCCCUGAACGAGGCCGACCUUUCAUUGGUCAAGGUUUCAAGAGUAGCUGCACUCUCCUGCUAGGACCUCCAAACAUGCUCUCAAAGUCUGUUUGUAGGAGAACAGGGUAGUCAAGCUGCCAAGACUCCAGAUACAUCCAAAUGGGAUCCUGCAUGUGGCAGUCAGCCUUUCUU